rnacentral:rRNA from 1 species
UGCAUGUCUAAGUACAUGCCGUAUCAAGGCGAAACCGCGAAUGGCUCAUUAAAUCAGUUAUGGUUCCUUGGAUCGUACCUUACUACUUGGAUAACUGUGGCAAUUCUAGAGCUAAUACAUGCAGCAGAGCUCCGACCUUCGGGGACGAGCGCUUUUAUUAGACCAAAACCCAUCGGACCUCGUGUCCGUCUCUUGUGGUGACUCUGUAUAACUUUGGGCUGAUCGCACGGGCCUGUCCCGGCGACGUAUCCUUCAAGUGUCUGCCUUAUCAACUUUCGAUGGUAGGUUACGCGCCUACCAUGGUCGUAACGGGUAACGGGGAAUCAGGGUUCGAUUCCGGAGAGGGAGCCUGAGAAACGGCUACCACAUCCAAGGAAGGCAGCAGGCGCGCAAAUUACCCAAUCCCAGAACGGGGAGGUAGUGACGAAAAAUAACAAUACGGGACUCUUUUGAGACCCCGUAAUUGGAAUGAGUACACUCUAAAUCCUUUAACGAUUAUCCAUUAGAGUACCAGUCUGGUGCCAGCACACGCGGUAAUUCCAGCUCUAAUAGCGUAUAUUAAAGUUGUUGCGGUUAAAAAGCUCGUAGUUGGAUCUCAGUUCCAGACGGGUGGUCCGCCUACCGGUGGUUACUGCCUGUUCUGAACAGCCAGCCGGUUUCUCUUGAUGAUCUUCACCGGUUGUCUUGAGUGACCGGCAAGUUUACUUUGAAAAAAUUAGAGUGCUCAAGGCAGGCGUGACGCCUGAAUAAUGGUGCAUGGAAUAAUGGAAUAGGACCUCGGUUCUAUUUUGUUGGUUUUCGGAACACGAGGUAAUGAUUAAGAGGGACAGACGGGGGCAUUCGUAUUGCGACGCUAGAGGUGAAA